AAGUCGUAACAAGGUUUCCGUAGGUGAACCUGCGGAAACCUUCAAACACCAUACAGCGCUUCGUGACCCAUCUUGUGUCGGGAUUGAUGGUCGGGAAAAACAGGGAUCCAGGUUGGUUGUCGGGGGAGAACCUCGCGAAAUGGGGUGGCACGCCGACCAUUCCUGGUUACGAUGUAAACGUGGUCUCCACUUCAACUUGUUUAGUACCUUUUGUCCUCUACCCGUACCGCUUGUCGCCACGAUUUGGAUCUUGAUGCACCCGUUUUCUUAUAACCCUAUGUCUUCCCGCAAAAGUACCCACUCGGGGGGCCUGAGAACCUUCCAGAGAUGGAGAACCCGAACAAUCUUGGCUCUC
rnacentral:misc_RNA from 1 species